AAGAUCAUACUUCAUAGGAUCAUUUCUAUAGUAUGAUUAGCGAGUUCACUCACCGAACUUCGCAGAAAACCCAACCACGAUGAUGUGGAAUGGGGCUUUCUCCUGAGCGUGAAGCGGUUGCUUCGAUCCUAAAUGGUUUGAACAACAUUGAUGAUCGCACUGUUUGGCAUUGCGCCAAAUAGAUGGAAAAAGCUCGUUCUGAGUGGU
rnacentral:snoRNA from 1 species